rnacentral:lncRNA from 1 species
CUCUAAUUUACAUCACUUAACUACCACCCCCUUUAUCCACGCAGUGAGCUUGGAAGCACUCCCACUUUGCCAGUGCAAAAUGCACAUUUGUGCCAAGUCAGAACAUCUCCAGGAAGGACUUGGUGAUGCCGUGUGAGCACCAGCUCUCUCUGCAGGGAUUUCCUUCAGCACCUCGCUGGGAUUCUGCAGCUGGGGAGGCGAGCCUGCCCUCCCUCCACACCAGAGACCUGGGCUGCAUCCGAGAUUGAGAGGAACCAAAGCAAACUUGUGGAGGAAGAACAAGCUCCGGGAUGGAUGGAGGUGAUCCUGAUUGUGCGGGGCGACCUGGAACUGGGGAUCCUACCAGGAGGAUACCAGGAGGAUCCUACAGAGGAGGCUGCAGGAACAGGACAGUGUGGAAGAAAGCUGGCUGGACAUUCCUGCGACUAACAGGGUCCUAACCCCAUCUCCACCUCCUAGCCUCAGAUCUUGGCUU